UACGGAGGGGGCUAGCGUUGUUCGGAAUUACUGGGCGUAAAGCGCACGUAGGCGGCUUUGCAAGUCAGAGGUGAAAGCCCGGGGCUCAACCCCGGAAUUGCCUUUGAGACUGCAUCGCUAGAAUUGUGGAGAGGUAAGUGGAAUUCCGAGUGUAGAGGUGAAAUUCGUAGAUAUUCGGAAGAACACCAGUGGCGAAGGCGACUUACUGGACACAUAUUGACGCUGAGGUGCGAAAGCGUGAGGAGCAAACAGG
rnacentral:rRNA from 1 species